rnacentral:pre_miRNA from 1 species
GGAGGGUAUUAACCGAAGGCACAGAUUUGCCUUCGGCCCCACCCUUCCU